rnacentral:rRNA from 1 species
GAUGAACGCUGGCGGCGUGCCUAAUACAUGCAAGUCGAGCGAACGGACGAGAAGCUUGCUUUUCUGAUGUUAGCGGCGGACGGGUGAGUAACACGUGGAUAACCUACCUAUAAGACUGGGAUAACUUCGGGAAACCGGAGCUAAUACCGGAUAAUAUUUUGAACCGCAUGGUUCAAAAGUGAAAGACGGUCUUGCUGUCACUUAUAGAUGGAUCCGCGCUGCAUUAGCUAGUUGGUAAGGUAACGGCUUACCAAGGCAACGAUGCAUAGCCGACCUGAGAGGACGAUCGGCCACACUGGAACUGAGACACGGUCCAGACUCCUACGGGAGGCAGCAGUAGGGAAUCUUCCGCAAUGGGCGAAAGCCUGACGGAGCAACGCCGCGUGAGUGAUGAAGGUCUUCGGAUCGUAAAACUCUGUUAUUAGGGAAGAACAUAUGUGUAAGUAACUGUGCACACCUUGACGGUACCUAAUCAGAAAGCAACGGCUAACUACGUG